rnacentral:rRNA from 1 species
AUGAACGCUGGCGGCGUGCCUCAUACAUGCCAGUCGAGCGAACGGACGAGAAGCUUGCUUUUCUGAUGUUAGCGGCGGACGGGUGAGUAACACGUGGAUAACCUACCUAUAAGACUGGGAUAACUUCGGGAAACCGGAGCUAAUACCGGAUAAUAUUUUGAACCGCAUGGUUCAAAAGUGAAAGACGGUCUUGCUGUCACUUAUAGAUGGAUCCGCGCUGCAUUAGCUAGAUGGUAAGGUAACGGCUUACCAAGGCAACGAUGCAUAGCCGACCUGAGAGGGUGAUCGGCCACACUGGAACUGAGACACGGUCCAGACUCCUACGGGAGGCAGCAGUAGGGAAUCUUCCGCAAUGGGCGAAAGCCUGACGGAGCAACGCCGCGUGAGUGAUGAAGGUCUUCGGAUCGUAAAACUCUGUUAUUAGGGAAGAACAUAUGUGUAAGUAACUGUGCACAUCUUGACGGUACCUAAUCAGAAAGCCACGGCUAACUACGUG